rnacentral:rRNA from 1 species
CCUACAGAGGCAGCAGUGAGGAAUAUUGGUCAAUGGACGAGAGUCUGAACCAGCCAAGUAGCGUGAAGGAUGGCUGCCCUAUGGGUUGUAAACUUCUUUUAUAUGGGAAUAAAAUGUUCCACGUGUGGGAUUUUGUAUGUACCAUAUGAAUAAGGAUCGGCUAACUCCGUGCCAGCAGCCGCGGUAAUACGGAGGGUCCGAGCGUUAUCCGGAUUUAUUGGGUUUAAAGGGAGCGUAGGUGGAUUGUUAAGUCAGUUGUGAAAGUUUGCGGCUCAACCGUAAAAUUGCAGUUGAAACUGGCAGUCUUGAGUACAGUAGAGGUAGGCGGAAUUCGUGGUGUAGCGGUGAAAUGCUUAGAUAUCACGAAGAACUCCGAUUGCGAAGGCAGUUCACUGGACUGCAACUGACACUGAGGCUCGAAAGUGUGGGUAUCAAACAGGAUUAGAUACCCGGGUAGUC